AUCAUCAUCACCUUCACAAGGGAGCAGGAACAGUAACAGUUUUUUACAAGAACCAUAUUCUAGAAAUAUUUUUUAGAGGUUGGUGGACACAAGAUGCUGAAAAACUUUGAAGUUCACCAUUGAUGAGAAGAGAACGGUUCCAAAACACUUGCCACGCAAAUAAGAUGAAGAAUUCAGAUAUUGACACUUGGGAAAGCGAUGGUAAGCGAGCCCUGCAGCAUCUAGAUUUGGUUCGACUGCCUCGGCAUCGCGGAAACGCUGAGAAAAGGUGCUGUUGAUAUCCAUGCCAC
rnacentral:lncRNA from 1 species